rnacentral:rRNA from 1 species
CCUACGGGUGGCUGCAGUGGGGAAUAUUGGACAAUGGGGGGAACCCUGAUCCAGCCAUGCCGCGUGUGUGAAGAAGGCCCUCGGGUUGUAAAGCACUUUCAGUGAGGAAGAACGCCUGGUGGUUAAUACCCAUCAGGAAAGACAUCACUCACAGAAGAAGCACCGGCUAACUCCGUGCCAGCAGCCGCGGUAAUACGGAGGGUGCGAGCGUUAAUCGGAAUUACUGGGCGUAAAGCGCGCGUAGGUGGCUUGAUAAGCCGGUUUUGAAAGCCCCGGGCUCAACCUGGGAACGGCAUCCGGAACUGUCAAGCUAGAGUGCAGGAGAGGAAGGUAGAAUUCCCGGUGUAGCGGUGAAAUGCGUAGAGAUCGGGAGGAAUACCAGUGGCGAAGGCGGCCUUCUGGACUGACACUGACACUGAGGUGCGAAAGCGUGGGUAGCAAACAGGAUUAGAUACCCCGGUAGUC